GACGAACGCUGGCGGCGUGCUUAACACAUGCAAGUCGAACGGAAAGGCCUUUUCGGAGGUACUCGAGUGGCGAACGGGUGAGUAACACGUGGGUGAUCUGCCCUGCACUCUGGGAUAAGCCUGGGAAACUGGGUCUAAUACCGGAUAGGACCGCACUUUAGUGUGUGUGGUGGAAAGUUUUUUCGGUGUAGGAUGAGCCCGCGGCCUAUCAGCUUGUUGGUGGGGUAAUGGCCUACCAAGGCGGCGACGGGUAGCCGGACUGAGAGGUUGGUCGGCCACAUUGGGACUGAGAUACGGCCCAGACUCCUACGGGAGGCAGCAGUGGGGAAUAUUGCACAAGGGGAGCGAGCCUGAUGCAGCGACGCCGCGUGGGGGAUGACGGCCUUCGGGUUGUAAACUCCUUUCGCCAGGGACGAAGCGUUUUGUGACGGUACCUGGAGAAGAAGCACCGGCUAACUACGUG
rnacentral:rRNA from 1 species